AUGCCUUAAACUUAUGAGUAAGGAAAAUAACGAUUCGGGGUGAAGCCCGAGUCCUCACUGCUUAUGUGAGACGAAUUUUUGAGCGGGUAAAGGUUACCAUCUAAGGCGACCCGCCUU